rnacentral:rRNA from 1 species
GACGAACGCUGGCGGCGUGCCUAAUACAUGCAAGUAGAACGCUGAAGGAGGAGCUUGCUUCUCUGGAUGAGUUGCGAACGGGUGAGUAACGCGUAGGUAACCUGCCUGGUAGCGGGGGAUAACUAUUGGAAACGGUAGCUAAUACCGCAUAAUAGUAGAUGUUGCAUGACAUUUGCUUAAAAGGUGCAAUUGCAUCACUACCAGAUGGACCUGCGUUGUAUUAGCUAGUUGGUGGGGUAACGGCUCACCAAGGCGACGAUACAUAGCCGACCUGAGAGGGUGAUCGGCCACACUGGGACUGAGACACGGCCCAGACUCCUACGGGAGGCAGCAGUAGGGAAUCUUCGGCAAUGGACGGAAGUCUGACCGAGCAACGCCGCGUGAGUGAAGAAGGUUUUCGGAUCGUAAAGCUCUGUUGUAAGAGAAGAACGAGUGUGAGGGUGGAAAGUUCACACUGUGACGGUAGCUUACCAGAAAGGGACGGCUAACUACGUG